GGAGUGAUGGUGCUUGCACUAUCACUUAGCGGCGGACGGGUGAGUAAUGCUUAAGAAUCUGCCUAUUAAUGGGGGACAACAUCUCGAAAGGGAUGCUAAUACCGCAUACGUCCUACGGGAGAAAGCAGGGGAUCACUUGUGACCUUGCGCUAAUAGAUGAGCCUAAGUCGGAUUACCUAGUUGGUGGGGUAAAGGCCUACCAAGGCGACAAUCUGUAGCGGGUCUGAGAGAAUGAUCCGCCACACUGGGACUGAAACACGGCCCAAACUCCUACGGGAGGCAGCAGUGGGGAAUAUUGGACAAUGGGGGGAACCCUGAUCCACCCAUGCCGCGUGUGGGAAAAAGGCCUUAUGGUUG
rnacentral:rRNA from 1 species